rnacentral:rRNA from 1 species
UACGAAGGGGGCUAGCGUUGCUCGGAAUUACUGGGCGUAAAGGGCGCGUAGGCGGACAGUUUAGUCAGAGGUGAAAGCCCAGGGCUCAACCCUGGAAUUGCCUUUGAUACUGACUGUCUUGAGUACGGGAGAGGUGUGUGGAACUCCGAGUGUAGAGGUGAAAUUCGUAGAUAUUCGGAAGAACACCAGUGGCGAAGGCGACUCUUUGGCCUGUAACUGACGCUGAGGCGCGAAAGCGUGGGGAGCAAACAGG